GGGGGGGGGGGGGUUGUUAGAAAGGAAGAGAGAUGUGUUUUAGAGAGCAAUCUAUUUUGCUGGUGUUGGGGGUUAAUGACUAUUGCCAAAGAUAAGUGAAUUAUCAAAGCUGUUGCUCUCGCCUUGUCUCAAAAUCCGUUACAUUGCCUGCUCGUCUAAUUAAAUACGAAAAUCAGAGAAGAAGGGUUUGAUGGCAAAGAGACAGCGCACGGCAUCCAGACGCAACAGGCAUGAUAAAGGUUGGUCAGAACUCAGAACUUCAGCUGUCAAAACGACGAGCCAUUCGUGGUCUCACGUCCAGCUAAACAACAUGGAAGUGCAGAUGAAGGCAAAACAGAUUGGGACCAAAAAUGUACCAUUAAAGAGGAUGUAAAAUUGUGCCUUUAUGCUACAUCUUUUGUCCAGCAUCUUUGGAGCAUUCUGUUACUUAAGAGGGGG
rnacentral:lncRNA from 1 species